GAGGACCGGGAUGGACUGACCUCUAGUGUACCAGUUAUGUCGCCAGAUGUACCGCUGGGUAGCUACGUUGGGAAGGGAUAAGCGCUGAAAGCAUCUAAGCACGAAACCUACUCCAAGAUGAGAUUUCCCUGAAGGAUCGUAGAAGACUACUACGUUGAUAGGACUAAGGUGUACGUAUAGUAAUAUACUUAGCCAACAGUUACUAAUAAUCCGUUCGACUUCAUUUA
rnacentral:rRNA from 1 species